GACGAACGCUGGCGGCGUGCCUAAUACAUGCAAGUCGAACGCUUCUUUCUCACCGAGUGCUUGCACUCACCGAGAAAGAGGAGUGGCGGACGGGUGAGUAACACGUGGGUAACCUGCCCAUCAGAAGGGGAUAACACUUGGAAACAGGUGCUAAUACCGUAUAACAAUCGGAACCGCAUGGUUCUGAUUUGAAAGGCGCUUUCGGGUGUCGCUGAUGGAUGGACCCGCGGUGCAUUAGCUAGUUGGUGAGGUAACGGCUCACCAAGGCAACGAUGCAUAGCCGACCUGAGAGGGUGGUCGGCCACACUGGGACUGAGACACGGCCCAGACUCCUACGGGAGGCAGCAGUAGGGAAUCUUCGGCAAUGGACGAAAGUCUGACCGAGCAACGCCGCGUGAGUGAAGAAGGUUUUCGGAUCGUAAAACUCAGUUGUUAGAGAAGAACAAGUGGGAGAGUAACUGUUCCCGCCUUGACGGUAUCUAACCAGAAAGCCACGGCUAACUACGUGCCAGCCGCCGCCGUAACAC
rnacentral:rRNA from 1 species